CUAGCAACAUUAAUUAUCUAUGAUUAUUGUCUAUGUUUUCUAUAUUUCAUGUCAUUGUCUAUGUUCAACUUCCUCUUCCGUUUCUGCUCUUCACACGAAAAUACACGGAUCAAUCACAAUUCCCGUUUAUUAUUACUCCCACGAGCUUCAAGCACCCCCAGGGCCUACAAACCAACCACAUACAGUCCACUCCGCUCCAUGGUCCUUCUCGGAUCGAGGGGUAAGCUGGGAAGUACGACAAACGCAAAAUCCGUGCGAACUAUUUUCGAGCUUCGCGCCAUACAAGUUCAAAAAGGGCGCCAUCUUGCAGCUCCACGCAAAUUAUCCAUCGUGGUGUGCAACAAGAACGCAGCGGAAGGUGCAAUUUCGAUCGUCGAGGUUGGCAAGACUGCGCUGAGAUCAGCGCCACCAACAACCAAUCAGCGAGCGCGAAUCAGCGAGUCUGCGCUGAGAACAGUGCCAUCGACCAAUCGGCGCGCGCGAUUCUGCGGGCCGAGUGCAUCCGGCGCACGAAGAUACCGCCGACUGUCAGCCGAGCCGCCGCAGCCGUCAAAGUCGCAAACGCAAAGUGCAAAUCAGAAAAAAUUCAACUCACGCCGCCAUUUUUCGGUUGACAUCGAACAAUAUUUUAGUAUUAGUGACUAUAAGUGCUAAAAGUUAAGUGGUGCAAUUGUAUUUACAACCAAAAAUGGAUUUAAAAAAGCUAAAAUCCGCAAGGGGCUUCGUAAAAGAUGGUUAUACGUCUCGGGCAUAUCAACUCGAGCGGGACCUGGACGCCGAACCCAGCCUGGAGGAUUUGCUCUGCUAUCUGGAAAAAAGGGCUCUGGCGCUGGAGGGCACCGACCAGAGUCACCACCAACCACCCCAAGCAAGAUGGUCGAACUACGGGAAGGUAGCAGCACAUGCAGCCGCAGCUGACAAGCCGCCAACCUGCUUAAAUUGUGCUAUUGCCGGAGAAGAGCAGUGUGACUCCUGCCAACAACAGCGGGAAGCAGUCGCCAGCUCAGAAUGAUCUGCACAUCUUUAACACACACUUCGGCCACAUCAUCGGAGGGAGUCUGCCGACAGGUUCCAUUAAGGGUCAAAUAUUAUGUAAUAAGGUAGUGCUAAAAUGUGAAAUGGAUCUCAAUGAAACACUAGGCCAAUUUUGGACAAAUGAAAAAGUACCUGAAAUAUUUUCAGAGAAGUCUCCAGAACAUGAGCUCUGUGAGCAAAUAUUCCAAAAUUCAGUAGAACUCAAAGAUAAACAGUUUCAAGUUCCAUUGCCCUUGAAAUUACCUCUGUCUGAAGUAAAAGAGACACUAGGUGAUUCAUUUAAUUUGGCUCUGAAAAGAUUUCAUAACUUAGAAAAGAAAUUAAUGGCAAACCCAGAGCUAUUCAUGCAAUAUAAACAAUUCAUACAUGAAUUUUUAUCUCUUGGUCAUGGUCACUAUGUCGACAUUGAGAUGUAUGACAUCAAUAAACAGGCAGCUUACUACAUGCCUCACCAUGCAAUAAUUAAGCCAGAGAGUAAAACAACAAAAGUACGCUCGGUGUUUGAUGCGAGCAUGAAAACAAACAAAAAAGUAUCAUUGAAUGACUUACAGUUGAAUGGUCCUGUGGUUCAGAGAGAUCUAUUUGAUAUUAUGCUGUUGUUCAGAUUAGGU